GAGCCAAAAAACAUGGCUUCUACUCCUGGUUUGCUGUAUCCAGUCCUGAGGCCCUGGGCAACCUUUCACUUUUGCCUCCCGUUGGACAAACCCGGCUGGGACUCAGUUGCCAGCAGAGUCUGAGAGCCACGCCUGCGGAAGUCACAUUCCUAAGAACGGAAGAUACAGGUGGCAGACAGGACAAAAACAGAAGGAGAUUUGAGACAGGAGAAGACACAGAGAAAAGGAGAAGGCAAUGUGACCACAGAGACAAAUAGUGGAGUAACAGCCACAAGCCAAGGAUGGCUGAAAUCCCCAAAGCUGGAAGAGGAGUCCCUGAAAUGCUUUAGGACUACUGGAUGAUUGCUGGUAUUCCUGUUCCUUAUUAUAUAAGGUAGUGUGUAUUGCAAUCACUUGGGAAGAUAUCCAUUAUACACACAUCUGCCUCCAAACCCCAAUCCAGGAUUCAGAUUUCCAGGAAAGAAGUUUGAUCCCGUGUAUUUCGAAAAAGUAUCUAAAGUGAUUUUGAUAAACACUCCUAGGUAGACAACACUGAGACGAAAUGAACUACCAUAUAUUUUAUUUACCACUUCAAAUUAUACACAGCUAUGUUGCUUAACAUACUGCAUUUUAUUAAUCCUUUAAAAAGAAUCAAACCUUUUUUAUUUUAAUUGCAUGUUUGUUGGUGGGGGGGCUUUGUUU
rnacentral:lncRNA from 1 species